rnacentral:snRNA from 1 species
GCAUUCAAUGCAAAUGCAGUAAAAUGAGUAAAAUUCAGACUGUGAGCAGUGUCCCUGCACAGGGAUGACAUGUAAAUUUGAGGAACAUUCCAUAAUUUU